UAAUUGAAGAGUUUGAUCAUGGCUCAGAUUGAACGCUGGCGGCAGGCCUAACACAUGCAAGUCGAGCGGAAACGGCAGUAUUGAAGCUUCGGUGGAUUUACUGGACGUCGAGCGGCGGACGGGUGAGUAACGGCUGGGAACCUGCCCUGACGAGGGGGAUAACCGUUGGAAACGACGGCUAAUACCGCAUAAUGUCUUGAUUCGUUAGAGUCAGGACCAAAGGUGGCCUCUACAUGUAAGCUAUCGCGUUGGGAUGGGCCCAGUUAGGAUUAGCUAGUUGGUAAGGUAAUGGCUUACCAAGGCAACGAUCCUUAGCUGGUUUGAGAGGAUGAUCAGCCACACUGGGACUGAGACACGGCCCAGACUCCUACGGGAGGCAGCAGUGGGGAAUAUUGCACAAUGGGGGAGACCCUGAUGCAGCCAUGCCGCGUGUGUGAAGAAGGCCUUCGGGUUGUAAAGCACUUUCAGCAGUGAGGAAGGUCGUGUACUUAAUACGUGCACGGCUUGACGUUAGCUGCAGAAGAAGCACCGGCUAACUCCGUGCCAGCAGCCGCGGUAAUACGGAGGGUGCGAGCGUUAAUCGGAAUUACUGGGCGUAAAGCGCAUGCAGGCGGUUUGUUAAGUCAGAUGUGAAAGCCCGGGGCUCAACCUCGGAACCGCAUUUGAAACUGGCAGGCUAGAGUCUUGUAGAGGGGGGUAGAAUUUCAGGUGUAGCGGUGAAAUGCGUAGAGAUCUGAAGGAAUACCAGUGGCGAAGGCGGCCCCCUGGACAAAGACUGACGCUCAGAUGCGAAAGCGUGGGUAGCAAACAGGAUUAGAUACCCUGGUAGUCCACGCCGUAAACGCUGUCUACUUGGAGGUUGAGGUUUAAGACUUUGGCUUUCGGCGCUAACGCAUUAAGUAGACCGCCUGGGGAGUACGGCCGCAAGGUUAAAACUCAAAUGAAUUGACGGGGGCCCGCACAAGCGGUGGAGCAUGUGGUUUAAUUCGAUGCAACGCGAAGAACCUUACCUACUCUUGACAUCCAGCGAAGCCUUUAGAGAUAGAGGUGUGCCUUCGGGAGCGCUGAGACAGGUGCUGCAUGGCUGUCGUCAGCUCGUGUUGUGAAAUGUUGGGUUAAGUCCCGCAACGAGCGCAACCCUUAUCCUUGUUUGCCAGCACGUAAUGGUGGGAACUCCAGGGAGACUGCCGGUGAUAAACCGGAGGAAGGUGGGGACGACGUCAAGUCAUCAUGGCCCUUACGAGUAGGGCUACACACGUGCUACAAUGGCAGAUACAGAGGGCAGCGAAGCUGCGAAGUGGAGCGAAUCCCUUAAAGUCUGUCGUAGUCCGGAUUGGAGUCUGCAACUCGACUCCAUGAAGUCGGAAUCGCUAGUAAUCGUGGAUCAGAAUGCCACGGUGAAUACGUUCCCGGGCCUUGUACACACCGCCCGUCACACCAUGGGAGUGGGCUGCACCAGAAGUAGAUAGCUUAACCUUCGGGAGGGCGUUUACCACGGUGUGGUUCAUGACUGGGGUGAAGUCGUAACAAGGUAGCCCUAGGGGAACCUGGGGCUGGAUCACCUCCUUAC
rnacentral:rRNA from 1 species